CUUUUAAAAUUUUGUUGAACUGCAUUUUCAUCACUUGAAUUAGUAUUAACAUUAUAAAUCAAUUCAAAGUUGUCAGGUUAAAAACGACGCUCAAAGAUAUAUGGCUCCGAAAGACCGCGGGAUAAUUUCAAAUUCUUGAUUUAUACAUGUUCAAUUGAGUAUGGAACCAAUGAUCUAGUCGUAAUGUUUCGAUGUUUAAAAAUGUUAUUUCGGAGUUUAAUGAAGUAUGCUGUCGGUGCAUUAUCAAAAUGUUAGGGACCGGUCAUUAUUUAUGGUGGGAGGUGGCACCGAAGAGAAUUGUUUCUCGUGGUAAAAAUUUUGCUGACCCAACCAUUAAAAAGACAAAAAAUUGAUUACCCAACCUCAAAUAUAAAUUGAAAAAUAAUUACCCACCCCUGGCCAAAAACUUUACAAAAGGAUACCAUUCAGUUGUCACACAUGUCUUUUACCACUUCUAUGACACGAGUUUGAUAACGGCUUGUGAAAUUUUCUGCAGUCUAAAGUUUCAUGUUGUCUGCACAUGUAGUUUCUUUGGAGACACCAUUUGUUUUGUCAAAAUGAUCAAGAUAGUGACUCUGAUUGAUUGAUUCACGUAUUGUAUUGACAAAUGACUGUUGACAUUGCUUUUCAGUCUCCAAUAUUUCAGUGGGUCAUGCAUUGGAAAUGACAAUAAAUUUUUAUUACCCAAACCUUGAGUUGUUUUGUUUUUCAUUUACCCAACCUUUUACUUACUCAAAAUUUAGUAACCUUUUUCUCUUCGGUGCCACCCCCCGCCAUAAAUAAUGACCGCUCCCUUAAGGCACUUUGAGGAAAUUAAUUUUCUUCAAGCAAUGGAAACUGUUGUCAACGCAGUGUGACCCAUUGGUAUGACCAGAUUUUUUCAGUGGCCAUUACCAAAAUUUUCUUCAGAUUUUACUAAAUUAAGAAAAAUUUUACCAAAUGUGGCUUCCCAAAUAAUGACGUCGUAGUAAUGCCAAAAAAACAAUAGUUAAUGUCAUCCAAGUAGAA